rnacentral:misc_RNA from 1 species
CUAAAAUGAUAUUAUUAUUGGACAAGAAAGCCUUCUCUUUUAAUAAACAAAUAUAUCCAAACAAAUUCAGAAGAAAAUAACCCUCCAAUAUUUUAUGAUGAGAUAUCAGCUAUAGGGGCUAAAACCAACAAACAAAAAGAACUCAAUGUACAGAGAAACAAAAGAACUAGGAAUCCUGUGCAAAGAAUGCCUGAACUAUGCAUACAAGUGGAAAAAAAAAUAUGGUAAUCCUAAAAAUAUAGAAGCAAUUAUCAAUAAUUCAAUAAGGAGUACUUCACACGUAAAACAAUCCUUCCCUUGUCCACCCCAAGCUUGGCUCCUGUUACCAACCAAUGACCUGGAAUAUCUUGCGGUCCCUUUGACAUUUCGCUUACGUCAACGAUUUUUGCCAGUUUCCCAACAUUGCUUGAACCAUCUUCCUUCUUAUCACUGGAGGUUUUCUCAUUUGAUAUUGAUGAUGAUGCUCCAUUGGGUUGCUGUGCAUAAGGAUUGGAGGGGCUAUGGUCCCAUACAGACCGUCUUAUUGUACAACCUGGAACUUUAGAGAACAGGAGUUUGAGGUGCAACACAUUUUUGGCCCCAAAAUCCCAAACACCAAGCUGAGCACCAGUGACAAUGUGAACGCCAGAGAGAUCUCCAAUGGAAGUAUCAGUGCACUCUAUCGGUGUUGUGCUUACAUGAGAGAAGUUCUUCCACUUAAUUGGCUCAAACCAACGGCUGUCUUGCUCUUCAGGACCUUUCCACUUGGGCGCACCUAUGGCUAUGUGUGCAUCCCAGUGUGGCUGAAGAAUUUUUGGAAGAGACACAAGAUGUUGCAAAUGGAUGGAGAGCCUGUUUUGCUUAAUGCCUUCGAGGCCAAGUCUAAGACCAGUGACUGGCUUACGGCCAACUGUUACCUGCAAUACCAUUAGGUUUAUAACCCCAUUGAGAGCCGUAGUUGUUAUGUUUAUGCUGACAAGCUCUAGCUAAAAGAAUUUAUGUAAGCCUUAAAGGAGAUUUUCCCACUAUAAGGGAAGGAAUUUCAUGUAAACCGAGGAAUAUUUUGUGCCAAAUUGUCCACAGGUUACACAUGUUUUAUUUUAAUUCAAAUCUUGAAACAGUUACCGGACGAUGUUACUUCAUCAAUGCUACAUGUCAAGUACUGACAUAAGUGGUAACUCCACCCAUUUUAUGGUUUUUCACUCUGAUAAUCAUCAUUCAAGUGAUAAUAGAUGCUUGAAAAACUUCACCGUCACAUAAAUCUUCACAAGAUAUAUGAGUUGCAACUACUAUUUUCAAAAACAUGCUUUGCUAUGUAAGUCAUCCACAAUGGCUUCUUUCUGGUGGUCAAUUUUGUUUGAAUUCAGAAGUUCUCUUACUGGCUUACAAAUUCAAGUACCUUUUUAUGAAAGCAAUGCUUCCCAACAAUGAGAACGAAAAGGCAAGAGGAAAACAUGAAUUGCAUCUUAUUUUGCUGCUAGGUUUAUUUGUUUUCAAUUUAUCAUGCAUUAGCUCUUUAUUUUCUUUUUCAAUUUUUACAGAAUAAUUAAGAACCUUUUUUUAUUUCAGCCAUUUCUUUCCUUUUAGUAAUGCAAGGCAGACAAAGCUUCAAGCAUUAAUUUCUAUCAGCACAUAGGAAGAUUUUACAACUAUGAAAAAUUACCUGAUCUGGGCUGAUAUAGAGCUUGGGUCCCAUCAAGCUGAAUUGAAGGGAUUGGCAAACAGGCUCCUUUCUUUGAAGGUUAUUCUGUUCUGGAGCCCAAACUCGAGCAAUUUGAAAAUCCAAGAAAUACUGCAAGUCCUCUAUAGGUGGCUUGUACUCCAAGUAUAAAUCAAUUGCCCGGGCUAAAUGCUUCAUGCCAGGUGCUCCUUCAAGCAGAGAAACAAUUGGUGUAAAUGUCAUAUUAAUCACAUCUGGUGCCAACUGCACGGUCUCUGCCCACUUGGCAUGACUCUGCUCAAGAUCAUCACCUCCUCUCCUUCUAAAAAUGACUGUUACAUCCUUGUCCUUGUAUUUUAAGGGGCCAGCACUUGGCUGACUUUUUGAGUCCUGAAACCUCUGAUCUGCAAUAUCUUCCACAUAGCUCUCAAUGUCUGACACUGACAAAGAAGAUGAUUGGUGCUGCCGGAUGUAAACAACAUCUCUUCCACCGAUUGUAGCGGAUGUGAUAAUAUGGGUACCAUAACUUUCAAUGAAGCUUGCCAAGGAUGCAGGAUCCCAGGAGUAUGGAACAGCACGAUUGAUUUCCUCACACAAGACUAAAUUCACUUUUGCUAAUUGAACAUUAUAAAGAGAAAUGAAAUGCCCAACCAUUGCAAGGGAUUUUGUUGCUGUUGCAUCAACUUGCCAAGAACCGGUGAAAUUGAACAUGGCAUUAAAGCUUCCAAGCGGAAUAUGUCCUGAUAUACCUGAUUUCUCAUUGAAUCUUCCUGCCAUCUCAUGGAAGCUGCAAACAGGAAUUCUUUCAAUGCUCCUAUGGUCUUUAGAGCAGUCAAUAUCGAUAGAAACAUUCGGCAACAAAACCCCAUCAGAGAUUACUAUAUCUCUGGUGUGCUCUUCAUCAAUAUGCACCAGCCUGGACCCAGGAGCUCCCUUGCAAUACAAAAGCCGUAUAUCAGAUGUGACAUCAAACCCACGACCCAAAGCCUGGAUUGAGUUGGAGAGAGUAGUGGUCAAAGCAUCAGAGCUCAAGCUCAUUUUUUUUUCACUUUCCAUAGAUGAAACAAUAAUCCUAAAGGGUUUUCUAGUAUCUCAUUUCUUUGAUUUGUUACUGAAAAGUAAAAGAAAAAGAAAUGAGAUUUUCCUGACGAGUGUUUCUUGAUUUUGGUGUCAAUUUGAUUUUUGUGGAGCUUAGGUUGGGAAGUUUGGGGCUUCGGAGUUGGUGAAAGGUUUGUUCUUGUUCUUGAUAUUGUUGUAAGUUGAUGCUGCUCUUUGUUCUUG